rnacentral:rRNA from 1 species
UACGUAGGGUGCGAGCGUUAAUCGGAAUUACUGGGCGUAAAGCGUGCGCAGGCGGUUGUGCAAGACAGAUGUGAAAUCCCCGGGCUCAACCCUGGGAACUGCAUUUGUGACUGCACGGCUGGAGUGCGGCAGAGGGGGGAUGGAAUUCCGCGUGUAGCAGUGAAAUGCGUAGAUAUGUGGAGGAAUACCGAUGGCGAAGGCAGCCCCCUGGGAUAACACUGACGCUCAUGCACGAAAGCGUGGGGAGCAAACAGG